rnacentral:rRNA from 1 species
AUUGAACGCUGGCGGAAUGCUUUACACAUGCAAGUCGAACGGCAGCACGGACUUCGGUCUGGUGGCGAGUGGCGAACGGGUGAGUAAUAUAUCGGAACGUGCCCAGUCGUGGGGGAUAACGUAGCGAAAGCUACGCUAAUACCGCAUACGAUCUACGGAUGAAAGCGGGGGAUCGCAAGACCUCGCGCGAUUGGAGCGGCCGAUAUCAGAUUAGGUAGUUGGUGAGGUAAAGGCUCACCAAGCCGACGAUCUGUAGCUGGUCUGAGAGGACGACCAGCCACACUGGGACUGAGACACGGCCCAGACUCCUACGGGAGGCAGCAGUGGGGAAUUUUGGACAAUGGACGCAAGUCUGAUCCAGCCAUUCCGCGUGCAGGACGAAGGCCCUCGGGUUGUAAACUGCUUUUGUACGGAACGAAAAGGCUCUGGUUAAUACCCGGGGCUCAUGACGGUACCGUAAGAAUAAGCACCGGCUAACUACGUGCCAGCCGCCGCGGUAA